GGGGUGCUAUACUGCAGUCGAGCGACAGAUAAGGAGCUUGCUCCUUUGACGUUAGCGGCGGACGGGUGAGUAACACGUGGGUAACCUACCUAUAAGACUGGGAUAACUUCGGGAAACCGGAGCUAAUACCGGAUAACAUUUGGAACCGCAUGGUUCUAAAGUGAAAGAUGGUUUUGCUAUCACUUAUAGAUGGACCCGCGCCGUAUUAGCUAGUUGGUAAGGUAACGGCUUACCAAGGCGACGAUACGUAGCCGACCUGAGAGGGUGAUCGGCCACACUGGAACUGAGACACGGUCCAGACUCCUACGGGAGGCAGCAGUAGGGAAUCUUCCGCAAUGGGCGAAAGCCUGACGGAGCAACGCCGCGUGAGUGAUGAAGGGUUUCGGCUCGUAAAACUCUGUUAUUAGGGAAGAACAAACGUGUAAGUAACUGUGCACGUCUUGACGGUACCUAAUCAGAAAGCCACGGCUAACUACGUGCCAGCAGCCGCGGUAAUACGUAGGUGGCAAGCGUUAUCCGGAAUUAUUGGGCGUAAAGCGCGCGUAGGCGGUUUCUUAAGUCUGAUGUGAAAGCCCACGGCUCAACCGUGGAGGGUCAUUGGAAACUGGGAAACUUGAGUGCAGAAGAGGAAAGUGGAAUUCCAUGUGUAGCGGUGAAAUGCGCAGAGAUAUGGAGGAACACCAGUGGCGAAGGCGACUUUCUGGUCUGUAACUGACGCUGAUGUGCGAAAGCGUGGGGAUCAAACAGGAUUAGAUACCCUGGUAGUCCACGCCGUAAACGAUGAGUGCUAAGUGUUAGGGGGUUUCCGCCCCUUAGUGCUGCAGCUAACGCAUUAAGCACUCCGCCUGGGGAGUACGACCGCAAGGUUGAAACUCAAAGGAAUUGACGGGGACCCGCACAAGCGGUGGAGCAUGUGGUUUAAUUCGAAGCAACGCGAAGAACCUUACCAAAUCUUGACAUCCUUUGAAAACUCUAGAGAUAGAGCCUUCCCCUUCGGGGGACAAAGUGACAGGUGGUGCAUGGUUGUCGUCAGCUCGUGUCGUGAGAUGUUGGGUUAAGUCCCGCAACGAGCGCAACCCUUAAGCUUAGUUGCCAUCAUUAAGUUGGGCACUCUAGGUUGACUGCCGGUGACAAACCGGAGGAAGGUGGGGAUGACGUCAAAUCAUCAUGCCCCUUAUGAUUUGGGCUACACACGUGCUACAAUGGACAAUACAAAGGGCAGCUAAACCGCGAGGUCAUGCAAAUCCCAUAAAGUUGUUCUCAGUUCGGAUUGUAGUCUGCAACUCGACUACAUGAAGCUGGAAUCGCUAGUAAUCGUAGAUCAGCAUGCUACGGUGAAUACGUUCCCGGGUCUUGUACACACCGCCCGUCACACCACGAGAGUUUGUAACACCCGAAGCCGGUGGAGUAACCAUUUAUGGAGCUAGCCGUCGAAGUGAACA
rnacentral:rRNA from 1 species